CAAAGCAAAGAACCAACGCAAGAGAGCGCUGAAUACUGUAGUGUUGAGACAGGCGCAUCAAUGGUAGCAGCAGAGCUACCCCUUCCAAUCACGGAAAGCCAGAGAGAAAGAUAAGAAAGAGAUAUAAUAUUCUCUUCAUCCGACGAACUCUCCUCGUUUCGCCCAAACCCAAAAGCGCGAGCUGCCAAACACACACCCUCCCCCUCCCUACUCAGCCGGUCCUACCCCAGACCCAAAAAAGAGAAAAGAAAAGGACGUUGCCGGCAUUUUUGUAAAGCAUCCCACACCACCUGGAACCACUUGCUUCGUGCCCUAACCCCAAUUUGCAAACCAAAAGUCACACACACGCACUCGGAGACACAGAAUUUUUUUAAAAAAAAAACACACGACGAAAGCCAAACCAAUCAGAACUCCCAAUCAGUCGCCUCGCUCGCCCACACUUACCCCCCACUAAUCUCUACAGUGAUAUCUGUCGCCCUCAAUUGCGACUUUCCCACCACUCACAUUUCUCUCUCUUACUCUUUCUCUUUCUUAUAUAAAUUAGGGUUUUCGGCUAUGAAUCAAGUCGUUGCGGGCGCUAAAGACGUGGAGGACGAGCCUGCGCCAGCUCUGUCCGCUGAGGUUUCCAAGGGCGCGGAGUCGACCGAGCCGGCCGGUGUCGCCGAAGAAGAGGCCGUGGAGAAGCCCGACGAUCCCAUGGAGGAGGACUCGCCGUUGAGUCCCGCCACCGUGUUCUGCAUACGGCUCAAGCAGGCCCGCUCCAAUUUGCUUCACAAAAUGAGCGUUCCCGAGCUUUGUCGCAAUUUUAGUGGUGUAGCUUGGUGUGGGAAACUGAAUGCUAUAGCAUGUGCAUCAGAGACUUGUGCAAGAAUUCCAAGUUCCAAUGCAAACCCACCAUUUUGGAUUCCCAUACAUAUUGUGAUCCCAGAGCGACCAACUGAAUGUGCAACAUUCAAUGUCACAGCUGAUUCUCCUCGUGAUUCUGUUCAGUUUAUUGAAUGGUCUCCCACUUCCUGCCCACGUGCCUUACUAAUAGCUAAUUUUCAUGGGAGGACAACUAUUAGGAUUCAGCCUUCUCAAGGGUCAGUUAAUCUGGUUCGUGAUGCUAGCUGUUGGCAGCUUGAGCAUGAAUGGCGACAGGAUAUUGCAGUUGUUACAAAGUGGCUAUCAGGGGUGUCUCAGUACAGGUGGCUUUCCUCCAAAAGCAGUACGCCUACAACCUCAAAGUCGACUUUUGAGGAAAAGUUCCUUUCACAGCAGUCUCAAACUUCAGCUCGGUGGCCCAACUUUCUUUGCGUCUGUUCUGUUUUCUCAUCUGGUUCUGUUCAACUUCAUUGGUCCCAGUGGCCUCCUAGUCAGAAUGGUGCAGCGUCAAAGUGGUUUUGCACAAGCAAAGGACUUUUGGGUGCUGGACCUAGUGGGAUCAUGGCUGCUGAUGCUAUCAUAACAGAUAGUGGUGCCAUGCAUGUGGCAGGUGUUCCUAUUGUGAACCCUUCCACUGUUGUUGUUUGGGAGGUCACUCCUGGACCUGGAAAUGCAUUUCAAGCAACUCCAAAGACAAGUUUGAGCAAUGGGUUGCCGCCUUCACUUAAUCCUCCCAGUUGGGCAGGUUUUGCCCCUUUGGCUGCAUAUUUAUUUAGUUGGCAAGAAUAUUUAAUAUCUGAAGCAGCGCAAGGAAAAAGGACAGAUCAAGAUCUCAGCGACAUUGUACCACUUCAUUGCUCGCCAGUUUCAAACUUUUCUGCUUAUGUGAGUCCUGAGGCUGCAGCUCAAUCUGCAGCAACCACUACAUGGGGUUCUGGGGUUACUGCAGUUGCCUUUGAUCCAACCCGUGGUGGUUCUGUGAUAGCUAUUGUGAUAGUUGAGGGACAGUACAUGUCUCCUUAUGAUCCAGAUGAGGGUCCUUCAAUUACAGGAUGGAGAGUGCAGCGCUGGGAAUCAUCUCUUAAGCCUGUUGUCCUCCAUCAAAUAUUUGGAAAUCCCACUUCUAGUUAUGGUGGGCUGGCACCCAUGCAAACAGUUUGGGUGUCCAAAGUGGAUACAAGCAUUCCACCAACAGAUGAUUUUAAAUCUCACCAAGCAGCUCCAACAGGACCAGCUUCUGAUGUAAGAAAGAUAUGUGAUUUAGGUGUGGACAAGGGGAAAAAAGUCAUUUUUGAUCCAUUUGAUCUCCCAAGUGAUGUUAGGACUCUUGCUCGAAUUGUCUAUUCUGCUCAUGGUGGUGAGAUUGCUAUUGCUUUUCUGCGGGGUGGGGUCCAUAUAUUUUCUGGUCCAAACUUUGCACCUGUUGAUAAAUACCAGAUUAACGUUGGAUCUGCAAUUGCUGCUCCCGCUUUCUCUUCAACAAGCUGCUGUUCAGCUUCUGUUUGGCAUGACACUAGCAAGGAUCGUACUAUGUUGAAGAUAAUUCGUGUUCUUCCUCCCGCUGUUCCAAGUAGUCAAGUGAAGGCCAACUCAGCAACCUGGGAGCGUGCAAUUGCUGAGAGAUUUUGGUGGAGCCUUUUGGUUGGAGUUGAUUGGUGGGAUGCUGUUGGCUGUACACAGAGUGCUGCUGAGGAUGGCAUUGUUUCUCUGAACAGUGUCAUUGCAGUCUUGGAUGCGGAUUUUCAUUCUCUUCCUUCUACACAGCACAGACAACAGUACGGUCCUAGUCUAGACAGGAUAAAAUGCAGGUUGCUGGAAGGUACAAAUGCUCAAGAAGUUAGGGCAAUGGUUCUUGAUAUGCAAGCAAGGUUGUUGCUAGAUAUGCUAGGGAAAGGAAUUGAAUCAGCUUUGAUAAAUCCUUCGGCUCUAGUACCUGAGCCAUGGCUUCAAACUGGUGCAUUAUCUGGCAUUGAUCCUGAAGCAAUGGCUGUUGAACCAGCACUAGUUUUGAGCAUUCAGGCUUACGUUGACGCCGUUCUUGAUCUAGCUUCACAUUUCAUUACACGCUUAAGGCGCUAUGCAAGUUUCUGUCGCACAUUAGCCAGUCAUGCUGUUACAGCUGGCACUGGAAGCAAUCGCAAUAUGGUCACUAGUCCAACCCAAAGUUCUGCUACUCCUGCAACAAGUCAAGAAGGUCAGACUGGUACUGCAAGCUCCACAGGAAGCACCCAAAUGCAAGCUUGGGUACAAGGCGCUAUAGCUAAGAUCAGUAGCACAAACGAUGGAGUGUCCAAUUCCACUCCUAACCCUAUAAGUGGUCCAUCAUCUUUCAUGCCGAUAAGCAUUAACACAGGAACUUUUCCAGGAACCCCUGCGGUUAGGCUCAUUGGGGAUUGUCAUUUCCUUCAUCGAUUAUGCCAACUUUUGCUUUUCUGUUUUUUCUUUCGGCGAACACAACUUCCCCGCUUUCUCGGGGCUGCACAGAGAAAUGCCGAUACCAAUAUGCAAAAACCUCAGCCAGGUGCUCCUGGCAAGUUGGAGGAGAUCAAUUCUGUGUCUACGAAACCAACUUCAGCUGUGGCCAGGUCAGAUGAUGGUCAGGUAGCUCGAGCUAAUCAACUCAUAGCUGGGGCAAAAGGAAUUGAAGACGGAACUGCUGGCCGGUCAAGACUAGGUUCUGGCAAUGCUGGUCAAGGAUACACUUUUGAAGAGGUGAGGGUCCUUUUCCUUAUACUUAUGGAUCUCUGUCGGCGAACAGCAAACCUGCCACAUCCCUUGCCAGUUUCUCAGGUGGGGAGCAGCAACAUCCAGGUGCGGCUCCAUUACAUUGAUGGGAAUUAUACAGUACUUCCCGAGGUUGUAGAAGCGUCCCUUGGCCCACAUAUGCAGAAUAUGCCCCGGCCUAGAGGUGCAGAUGCUGCUGGUCUCUUACUCCGUGAGCUAGAACUCCACCCUCCUGCUGAAGAGUGGCACAGGCGGAAUAUGUACGGUGGGCCUUGGUCUGAUCUAGAUGAUAUGGGUCCUGUGGAUGACUCUGCCAAGCUAAGUUCUGGAGACCCACUUGAUUUCAACUCAUUGGAAAAUUGUGAUGUUUAUUGUGGUGCCCAUAGCCUGUGGCCGAGGAAGCGCAGGAUGUCUGAAAGAGAUGCAGCUUUUGGCUUGAACACUUCUGUCGGCCUGGGAGGAUAUCUUGGUAUAAUGGGUUCUCGCAGAGAUGUUGUUACUGCCGUGUGGAAGACUGGCCUUGAAGGUGUUUGGUUCAAGUGCAUAAGAUGCUUGCGGCAGACUUCAGCUUUUGCGUCACCAGGUACUUCCAUUCCACCUAAUCAACAUGACCGGGAAACUUGGUGGAUCAGCCGCUGGGCUUAUGGCUGUCCAAUGUGUGGUGGAACAUGGGUUCGUGUUGUAUAGAUAUGAUUGCAUCGACUGUUUUGUUCAUAGGCGUGCUUAUGCCCUCCCUGUUCAUACGGGAACAAGCUCCAUGGUGAUAGAUAUGCAUAUAUAGUAGUUGAUAAUUGGGAGUAUACCAAAUAUGAUGCUGACUGGACACUUAGAGAAGAGGUGUUGGUUAGGUGGAUGGACUCAUUCGAGAAUAUUUUCUUUCUCAGUAAUCAACUUCACUUGGAUCUCAUGAUAGUAGCCAUCCUAUUUCUCAGUUCGCUGAAUUCUAUUCAUGCCAAAGCAAUCUUCUGUAAGAUAUGCAAUUUGGGUUUCAAGGUCAAUUGUACCCCCACUAUGCUUGUCUUCUCCCCUAUUUUAUGCAGCUAUCCUGCUGCAGAGAUUCUAGGACGGAUCCCCCUCCUUGUUUGCCCAGUGACAGUACAUAUUGGCCCAUCCCAAGAUUGUAAAUCUUCUUGCCUCAACCUCGACGCAUCUAUUCUGUGUACGAAAACUAUUUCUAGAUGGAAAAAACAUAUUUUAUUGUUGUCACUGCUGCUGGCAAACUAUUGACAAUUUCUUGCGGGGGCAAAAAACUUUGCUCUUGAUUGCUGUGAAAGAACGAUCGGUUGCUUGAAUCAUACCAGCGUGCUUCUCUGCAUCAGUUGGCAGAUGCCUGAUAGGUUUAUUGUUUAUCUUGUGUAUUACGUUGACGAAGAGAUUACGCAAAAGCUAGCAAUUGUACUUUCUGUUACCGAAAAAACAAUUACACCCUCGUAGAUGAUGACGUAAUGUAAAUCUUUUGAACUACAGAAAUGUCAAUUAGAUAGAAUCAGAUGGCAAUUUUAAGGUU